AGGAAGUUCUUCCUUGUGUCUAACCAGACUCUCUCUUGCUGCAGGGCCAGCUUGGAUGCUCCUCCUUGUGGCCAUUCUCUGGAGGUGAGUGUGCCAGGUUUGCUGAGCCUAGGAGUGGGCUGGAAAGCCCUCUUCCCCAGAGGUAGCGGAGGGUCUGGAUGGCGGAGGAGAGCCCAGAGGGCCGGCUCUGUGUUUGGUGAAUAAACAUGGGAGUCGGGUUUCUGGCCUGUCACUCUGCAGCUUUUCAGCGAGUGAGGGGCCAGGUGGGCCGGAGGGAGUUCCCGCGGCGGCACAUGAAGAGGCCGGGGCCUGCGGGGGCUGGGGCCCGGGCAGGGCCCGCUCUGGGCAGCCAGCGGAGCGGGCCUUUGCAGGCCACGGAACUUCACACCUUUGAAAGGCUCCAGAGCGGCACGCAGAGAAAAUAAACCGUUCCUCCCAUCCGUGGCAGGUCUGCCAUCCUCAGGGGCUCCCCGUCAUGCACACGGAAACCCUGUAAAAGGGCCCAGUGUUUCCUUUUCCACUCCCCGAAAGGAUGCGUGCUGAGCCCUGAGGACUGCCGGGGGUGGGUGACAGGGCUCUAUCCCGGCCAGGGAAGCCAGGUUCCAGCGCCGCUCCUGCUGGGAUAAGCCACCCCAGCUCUCCGAGUGUUGCUUUGCACAUCUGGAAAACAGGAAGAAAAAUACCUCCCUUUGAGUGUUAUUCUGCGUGUGUCCGACGGCAAAAUAGGGCAUAUAUGUGAACGCACCUAGCCCACAGUGGAUGCUUCAUCAAUGUGUCCCUCCUUUCCCCUCCCCAUAACCUAAAGCAAGUCUGAGUUCGCCUCAGAGCCUCGGUUCCCUGCUCUGUAAAGUGGGGUUCGUGCCUCCCUCGUGUGGCUUCCAUGAGACAAAGGGCCUGGCUUGCAGGGGCUCUCCAGCAGAAAUUUCUUCCUUGUUUCUUUUCCUCCCAUUCGCCUCCCCUCUGGGUGUCGGGGCAUCGCUUUGCAAAUGGGAAUGGCCAUGCCCCUGUAGGUCGAGAACACUCUAAGGAUGAGCGUAAUGCCACAGCACUGAUGGGCAUCGCUGUGCCACAGGGCUGUAGGAGAGGCUAGAUCUCAAAAGACUUUAGAAGGCAGCAGAUAGAAUACAAGGAUCGGGGAGUCCAAGGGAUACGAGAAUCCAUCUGAUACUCGGGCCUUGUCUCAUCGAGCGAGGGUUCGAAUGGUGGGAGCCUUGGGAAGAAAGGGAGUCCAAGGAGGGCUUCCUGGAGGAGGGCUCUGUCCAAAGCUGUGGAGCUUAGUCUUUCUUCCCAGGUCUAGUCCAUUGCCAAUGCUCGAGGCCCAGACUACUGCUGGCCCACAGCAAGUUGAGAGAUACCCCCAGAAGUGCCCUCUUUCUCCCACCUAGGUUUUUCAGGGCCGGGAGGAGACAGACCUAGGACCAAGAGGUGGGCAAAUGUGAGAGCAGAUCCCAGUGAGCUCUCUAGGAAGAGAGCCAGUUGUCUCCAGAGGUUGUGAGCUCCCUGUCACAGCAGGUGUCCAACAGUGGCUGGAAGGCCCUGUGAUGGUACAGAAGGGGGACCGUGGCACGAGGUGAAGGUGGGAAUAUCUGGGAGACAGGCUUUGGAGUCAGGUACACAUGGGCUCCAGUUCCAGCUUUACAGUUCACCCCUGUGUGACCUUGGGUUAGUCUCCUUCCUAAACUUUGUAAAAUCCCAAUUUCCUCAUAUGUAAAUAGGCAGUGAUUCCUACUUCAAAGAGUUGUUUUCAGAGAGUAAACGAGAUAAUGCAUGAAAAGCAUUUAGCAUGGUCAGAAACAUGUGGGUUCCCCUGCCCCAGCUGAGAGUCUAAGAUCAGAGAGGCUGAAGUUUGUGGGGGUUUAAGAUCCUAUACUUUGGGAUUCUGAAAUUCUAGGAGACUGAACACUUACAUAAGGCUUCCCCUGUGCUAAAUACUUUCUUAGGGACAUUACAAAUAUUCACUUGCUUAAUCUUCACAAUAACCCUAUACAAUAGGUACUGUUAUUACCCAUAAUCUAUAGAUGAGGAUGUAUAGACAGAAGGCUAAGUAGCCUGCCCACAUCACACAGCUGAGGAAGGGGUGGGGCUGGGCCUGGAUUCUGGUUCCACUGUCUGUGCGAUAGGAUUCUAAGAUCACAAGAUUCUAAAACCACUCCAUGUUUCUUAGAGCCCGGAGAAUUCAAUAUUAUGGGGCUUUUUAUUAAUAAUAAUGAACAUCCAGGGUGAGAAGGGAAGGUUCUAGAGCAGGAGUUGUUGAACUUUCUCUGUAAAGGGCUGAUAUCUUAGGUUUUGCAGGCCACAAGUUCUCUGGCAAGAGUACCCACCUCCACAGUUGUAGCCAGUAGCUAAAUGAAGGGUCUGACUGUGUUUCAAUAAAACUUUAUUCACAAAAACAAGUGGCAGGCAGACUGUAGUUUGCCGACUGCUGUUCUCAAGACACAGAUAAUACAUCUUCUGCUCUGCUGAGCACCCUGGUGAAGGCUCCCUUCAGGGCUGAUCCUCAGGAGAUCCCCGCUCUGCCCUGCUUUGGAGAGACAGAGGGGCCUGGGACGACCAUGCAGACUCCCGAGGGCGUGGGUGCCUCGCAUGUGGCUCUCUCUUUCUGUCCUAGAGAGGCUGUUAAAAAGGCUCCUCUCUCCAGCAGCGGAGCCUCAUUACUCAUGGGCUAGAAAACAAUGCUAACUUCCCCCAAAGUGGGAAGCAGUUGCACUUGUGAGCCAGGGCUCAUUUUGCUACAUGAAUAUUUAUGGCAUGUCCCCUAAUUAAGGCCAGAAAUAAAAUUUACCCUGCUCACGGGGGCCAGGGGAGACUGGAAAGCCGUGUCAGGAACCAGCUUCUUGUGCCUGUGAAGUAGGGUUGUCAUCGAAACAUUUGUGUCCACAGCCACUUGGCCUGGGUCAGUGUCCAUAGGAGUAGUGGGGGUGGGCGUUCCCAGGAAGGUCAAGUUCCCGUGGUGUGGUCAACAUGCUGGUGUGGGGGCCACCUGGUGGGUGACCAUUGCCCCAGAUCUGCAUGGGGUGACACAGAGGGGUCCUAGCCCUAGCAAUAUUAUUUUUCUUUAGUCGGGAUGACUCAGGUAUUUUGUGACUGGGCUUCCAAGGUCACUCUAGUGACAAGAGCUCAGAGAGGGAGGCCCUGGCUGGGUCUGAGUUCCUCCUCUGAUGCUGAUUGUGUGGGACCUGGGCUGCCCCACCAGCCUCCCCAGCCUCGGGUCCCCCAUUAUCUCUGUGAAGGAGGAAAUCCUCGGGCCACAGGAUCCUGGAGUUCUUGCUGAGAACCACGGGAGGUGACAGCAGGGAAAGCAUUAUGGGGAAUUGUUCCCACCACGGUUCUGGGGUUUCUUUUACCUAAAGGCACUCCUUCUCUCAAACCUGGGAAAGGAGGAAAGCUGGCUAUGCCCAGCCUUGAGUAACCUUGAGGGUUUCCGGAAACCAUAAAUCUCGGCUUUUCCUUCAGGGGUCCUAUCUCCAGAGAGCUGCCUGGGCCUCAUAUCCUUUUCCGAGGAGCCAAUAAACCAAGCAAAUACCAUAAAGCUCUUCGCUCCAGCCUGAGCUCUGCUUGGAGUCAGACCUGUAGUCCAGCAGCCGGCUUCAGAACACAACCAUCAGGUUGACCAGGAGUUCUCCCCCCUUCCCUUCCAGAAUGUAGCUUGCCUUUGACGCCUCUCUUCUGUCAGCUUUUCAAUAAUUGCCCUCUUAUAAUUGUUCACAGCAGCGGAGAGGUCCCACCUUGUGCCCCUGCCUCCACCUCCAGGCCGCUGGUGUAUACUGGGAUAAGGAGGGAGGAUGCUUUCCUAAGGUGGGUCCAGGAAUGUAAUAGUCCCAGGGCCUUGGCAAUUGGCACACCUCGUAAAUUCCAAAGUCAACAAGAUGUGGAAGCGGAGGGGACCCCCAGGCUGGAGAGAAAGAUGUGGCAGGGGUCAUAGGGAGGCUCAAGGGUAGCUUUGGUGCCUUCCAUCUCCCACACGAGGCCUGCCCCACCCUGGGGAGCCCUGGGACUUCCUGCUCUCACUCUCCACCUUCACAUCCUGAGCUCUGAUCUGGUUGCAACAGCCCAGACCCUGAAAGGGACCUAGAGGCCUUCUUUUUCACACCUUCUCACUGCAGAGAGGGAGGCUGCCAGUGUAGACAGGGUCUUGCCCAGGUCAGUAUCAGGGCAGGUAUGGUGGCAGUGACACCGGGCCGGGGUGGGGAGUUGGACUCAGGUUGAACCCAGAUCCUCAUCAAACACUGAGCCCUGAUCCCCACACUGUGGCACCCUGACCCCGCUGCAGAUUGUUGCCUCAGCUUGUAACCCACAGGUCACAGGACAGUGGGAGGAAAGAUCACAGCUUCCUCUGGCCCACCGCAACUACAGGAGCCGCUUACUGCCAUUUACAUCUGCCACGCUGUCUUCGCUGAGCAAGGAUGCCGUGUUCUUCUUACUGGUUCGGAGGUUCAGUGCAGAACACUUAAGCAGACGUGUGCCUUUGAGAAAAGUCACUUUACUUCUCUGGGCUUCAGUUCUCUCAUCUUUAAAACGGGAGUUAUCACGCUCCCCACUCACCUAUCCCCUCCGCUCCUUGCUAGGAUCAAAUGAGACGAUGAUUAAGAAGGUGCUUUGUCAGCGAAUGCUUUCGUAUCUGAGAGAGUAAGCGUUAAAGUCAUCCCUACUGUGUCAUCAUUAUUUGAUGUUUCCUCUCCCUCCGCCCAGCCAGAGGAUCUCCCAUGCCCCCAGAGACCUAAGUCCAGGAGCAAAUCUGUUGGUCAGGGGCCCCGAGGGAGGCCAGGAGCUCUGCUGGGAGACUGGAGAGGAACCAGAGGCUGAGUACACUUUGUUCUUGUUCAGGUCCAAGCCUGCCGGCCGGAGCUGGGCACCACGCGGUCCACACCUCCUCGUUUAGUGGUCAGACGGGCUCCCAGGUGAGUUCACAGGCCCUGGGUGUCCAGGCUUGGGCUCUGCCUACCCAGGCUUACACAGAAACCCCCACUCCACCUGAGAGGACACAGGAGGUUCUGGUGGGUCCAGACACCCAGCUCUCUGCCCUAAGCACUCUCCUGAUUUCCACCAGCUCUCAUGUUUGAGGAGGGAAAUGUGGUCUACACACUUUGGUUGAACUGCACAAAAGCUAUCACGAAGCUUUGUAAGAGCCAAUUGUGCUGCGUGUCCCGUUGGGGAAUCUUAGGCCUCUUUUGAAGGCCUUUUUCUCCCCUUUGGGAAAACAGGGAAUCAUGCCGCCCCAGGAGCAACCAACUUGAAAUCUUUAGUGCUUGCUUGUCCUCCCCCCCUGCCCCCCACAAUUGGAAAAGGCCCAAGUCGGUCUCCCCCAGAGCACAGCAAACCCUUACGCCUGGCAAUUAAAGCCCUCCAUGAUUUGCCCCAAGCUAUCUUGAUAGCAGGCAGCCCCUAGCAUCCAAUGAGGCGGGGGCCGUUUGCAGUCAGAACCCACCCGACUAUGAGCUUUCUUGCAGCCUCUGUUUACACUGUUCCCUCUCCCUGACUGCAUUUCAUCCCCACCAGUCCUGGAAUUUUAUCCAUUCUUUAAGAUCCAGCUCCAGCCCAGUCUCCGCCUUCCCUUGAUCGUUCUAAAUGAACGCAUUUCUGGCUGAGGAUUUGGUCCUGAGUGAUGACGGUAAAUGUUACGGAAGAACGAGUAAAUGAAUGGAUGGAUAGGAUGGAUGGGUGACGAGUUCAGAUAAGUUGUUAGCUCUAUAUUCUCUUUUUGCUUAUCUCUCUGCUAAAAUGUGCCAGGCUGAGAUUCUGGCACAUGCGGAGGGAGGUUUGACAACACACGAAGGAAUGAAUGUGCGGUGAACGGGUGAAUGUGGGCGUCCAUUUACAAAGCACGUACUAUGGGCCAGGCAGGGGCCCAGAGGCUGAUGUGAGCUGUGAAUAAGACGUGCUUUCUGUCCUCAUGCCCUUACCUUUGAGCUGAGGAGUCAGAGAGGUGCACAAUCCAUUACUUAUUUAGUUAGCCUUGUGAUAAAAUGCCAUGAGGGAGGAAAAUUAAUAAGUAAAUGAGUGAAUGUGUGAGGAAUGAGUGAAGACAGGAAUAAGCAAACAGAAUAAGGGAGGGAAUGAAUGUGCAAAUGGAUCCUGAGGAGCAUAAAUGAAGGAAUGAAGGCAUGAUGGAUGAAGGUUAAUCUUACCAGGGCAAGAAUCCAUGCCACGUGACCUGGUGUUUAUGGGCCCGAGGCCUAGAGGCCAGGGUUGCCCAAAGUCAGCCCCUCUCCUGCUUCCCUGGGGGUGGGGACAGCAGGCAGUGAGAGGGGGAGCCAGGCCUUGUGCCUCCCCAGGUAGCACCAUUUUUGCUAUCUAAGUACCUCCAGAAUGGAAAGUCCGUCUUGGAAAGGGCCGAAGACUUCAGCAUGUGGAAUCUAGGGCCUUCAGGAAGGUCUGAUUUUUGCUCAGUGCAUGGAAUGAACCUCAAAGCUUUUGCAGUCACACCCAAUGCUGCAGUACCCUCUGUGGUGAGAAAUCAGGGUCGGGAGGGGAGGGGUCUGCCCAACGCACACCAUCAGGGCCCUGACUGCAAGGCGCCUUAAGGAGUCUUUGCCGGGACCAUCAAAGGCCCUUUUUCAUCUCUGACCUUGCCUAAUCCUCUCCCCCGUGAGCCCCCCCUCCAGCUCCCUGGCCCCCUCCCUGUCCGACACAUGCAGCCUCUGCUCAGCUCGGAGCCUUUGGGCUCCUCGUUCCCUCUGCCUGGGAUGUACUCCCAGACAUCUGUCAUCUGGCCCUCUCACUUCCUUCAGGACUAUUCUCAAAAGUGACCCUAAGUCCUUCUGUGGCCAUCAUAUCUGUAAUUUUACCCCUGGCUGCUUCCUUCUGCAUCGUCUUCCCUAACUUUGAUUUUUCUUUAUAGCACUGAUCCUUACCUGACACACUCUACAUUCUUCUUAUUUAUUUUGUUUUGCAUCUCUUUAUCCUCCCAGAGGGCAGGGACCUUGCAUUGCUCUGUCCACUACUAUCCCGGCAGCAGGAAUGGAGGCUGCCGCUAAACAUGUUCUGCCCGGGGAAAUGAAGCAAAGGCUCAGAUCCAGCCUUGCCUCUCCAUCCAAAACCCACGGCCACUGUCUUUUCUUGCCUGGACACUGUGACAGCCUCCUCCCUGACCCCUCCCUCAGCCUCUUCCCUGACCCUGGCCUCCUCCUGACCCCUAGCUGCCUCUUUGGCCCAGAGUGAUCUUUCCUCUGUGACAAAUAUGACCAUAUCAUUCCCCUUCUGGAAACUCUUUACUGUUCCCCUCUCUUCUUUCUUCUUGACUCUGUCUUUCCCGACCUUGAAAACUAAAGAUCCAAGAUAACAUAGGAGAAGCGUCUGACGCAUGGCACUGAAUAAGUGGUAGUUGCCGUCAUCCCCCAAAUACUUGGGCACCCAGGUAGAGGGUGCGACGAGGGGGCAGUGGACUGUUUUAAGGUGUAGUGUGUGGAACAGCAUGGACAAGCACAUGGGAGUGGCAGCAGUGUGUCACGAACAGAGGAACUGUCGGUAGGCCGGGCUUGUUGGCACAGUGAUUUCAGUAGAAGAAUCUUGACCACUGGGAGGGAGAACGGGUUGGGUCAGAUCCCAGAAGGUAUUGACUACAAAACUGAGGAGCUCUGCUUAUGCUGCAGACUGUAGGACACCUCUGUGAGGAUCUUCAACAAAAUUCAACACGUUGCCCAGCACUGGUUAGGAGUCAAGUGUUACAGUGGGCACUUUCACAGGGAGUCUUCAGUAGGAUAUAACAAUCCUGUGAAACCUGUAUCAGUGUUCUCAUCUUACAUAUGGAGAAACCAAAAUCCAGAAAGGUUGGCUAACUUUCCCAAGGCAACCUACAGCGGAGGUUUGAACCCAGGCCUAGGUGACCCGAAAUCUUAGUAUCUAUUUUUAUCAUUCAGAGGCCUCGCACUUGUCAGGUGUUUGUUGGUUGAAUGCAAGCCUUGCCACAGGGUGACCCCAAUAACCCGGGGGCUGGUGACACUUAACCCCAACAGCCUUUCUGGUUCCCACAACAGCCUCCAUAGCUCCAAGCCGCGAAUCGGGCCUUCAUACAGCCUUUUGUGGACUUGGGAGUCAAGAAGAGAAUUCACAGUACUUUGGAAAACACAUUUUCUUUUAAAGAAGAAUUUUUUGUUUUCAUUUCAAACAGCCCUGGCUGGUGAUGAGUGGUGAGGAGAGGUGCCCUGUUUUCCAUCCUAACACCUAUUUCCAGGUGGGGGCAGGGAGGGCUCCAGCCCGAAAUGUUAUUUCAAAACCUUUCCGGGCCUUGCAGCUCCAUUUCCAGGCCACGUGCUACAAAGAAAAGCACGAUUUCCCAUUACGUCGUGUUGCCCUUUCUGGUCUGAGCACCUUUCAAAGCGGGAAGAGCCGGUCCGCCCCAGCGCACCCCCUCCCGUCCCCGUACAUGGAGUUUCACCGCCUGAUGGAGGGCUGGGAUAAACGGCCUUGCCGGGCAGCCGAUGGCCACACUCCUGAUAGGCCUGACUGCCAAGAGCAGCAAACUCCCAGCCCUUGAAGAGAUAGCUAGAAGCCGAGACCCGGUGUGAUGUGAGAGCUCCCUGCCUGCUCCCUGCCAUC
rnacentral:lncRNA from 1 species